GUUAAAGGUAACAGGGAGAGCUUUCAUUCAAAACAUGCUACAUAUCCCACAUAUGCUGGUGUAGCUCCCAGCACUGGUAGUGGUAAAUGAUGUAUAAAAGGAGUGAAUGCUGAGAUGUAACCACACAUAAAGAAAAGGAAUUCCCUGAUGGUGGGGCACAGCUGCUUUUACAAAGAAAGCAGGCCAGUGUUGAAGAUGAGAGGGAGUUCAGUCCCGCAAGGUGCUGAGCACUGCGGUUCCUGGCUGCAAUCCAGCAAAGCACUCAACUGUGGCUCAGAUGGAUUCAGGGCAGAUAAGUACUGCUCAGCAGAGGGCAUAAUCUCCCAUUACUGCGUGAUGUAUGCACUGAGAGUAGAAAAAGAUGGAAUAACCACUAGAGAGAAGAGCCAGUGACACGACGUAAUAGAAUCUUAGUGAAAAGAUGUAUUCAUCAAAUCUGAAAUGUUUUGAAGAAGGAUAUCAACAUCUAUUGUCAUCAGCUUACUGAACACCAGAGUCCAUAUUUCCUCUCCAUAGAGACCUCCUCCAUCAGUUACUGAAUAUUAGACUAAGGAUCCUUUCAAUCAUAGUCUGCAGUUUGAAUAUAGGUUGUAUUAGUGUUUCAUUUUGGUUGAUUUAAUUUCUGUCUUCUUCUGUCCUUUAAAAUAUCACUGUAUGACCAUUUUCAAAGUUUGUAAAACACACAAAUAGUGAAAAGAACUCACAGGGAAAAAGAAGCUGAAAACAUUAGAGGACAUAGAGAAGAUACUUUGUAGGGCAUUUUAUGAGGGCACUUUAGCAACCUUGAUCAGUGAUCAAGAAAGGAAGAAGAAACAAACAGGAAUGUAGUUAUGGCAGAAACCAGAUAAAAACAUAACUAAAAAGAUUUAUUAAAUCUAAGGUAAUAAUAAAAUUGAUAGAGUCUUGGAUGAAAGUUUGGUUAGACCAUCUUAGAAGAAAUUAAUAAUGUUGGAUCAAGAAAAAUAUCUUUAUACUAGUAAGUCAAAACCAACAGAGUUAAGAACUAAUAUUGAUAAAGCCUGAAGUGAAUUAUCUUACAAGACAGUAAUAUGUAGUAGCAUCAACAGUUAUAGGAAAGAAAAUAACACUUUCCACUGCCUUGUGCCCUGGAAAGAAAAUCAGUGCCAGUGAAUUGCAACAGAGACUUUUUCCUUCCCCUCUUCUCU
rnacentral:lncRNA from 1 species